GACGAACGCUGGCGGCGUGCUUAACACAUGCAAGUCGAGCGGUAAGGCCCUUUCGGGGGUACACGAGCGGCGAACGGGUGAGUAACACGUGGGUGACCUGCCCUCAGCUCUGGGAUAAGCCUGGGAAACCGGGUCUAAUACUGGAUAUGACCCUAUGGCGCAUGUUGUGGGGUGGAAAGCCUUGUGCGGCUAGGGAUGGGCCCGCGGCCUAUCAGCUUGUUGGUGGGGUGAUGGCCACCGAAGGCGACGACGGGUAGCCGGCCUGAGAGGGCGACCGGCCACACUGGGACUGAGACACGGCCCAGACUCCUACGGGAGGCAGCAGUGGGGAAUCUUGCGCAAUGGCCUAACGGCUGACGCAGCGACGCCGCGUGUGGGAUGAAGCUCUUCGGAGUGUAAACCACUGUUGCCCGGGACGAACAGCUCGAUUUC
rnacentral:rRNA from 1 species